rnacentral:rRNA from 1 species
ACGUAGGUGGCGAGCGUUAUCCGGAUUUACUGGGUGUAAAGGGCGCGUAGGCGGGAAUGCAAGUCAGAUGUGAAAUCCAGGGGCUCAACCCUUGAACUGCAUUUGAAACUGUAUUUCUUGAGUGUCGGAGAGGUUGACGGAAUUCCUAGUGUAGCGGUGAAAUGCGUAGAUAUUAGGAGGAACACCAGUGGCGAAGGCGGUCAACUGGACGAUAACUGACGCUGAGGCGCGAAAGCGUGGGGAGCAAACAG